UGGGGAAUCUUAGACAAUGGGGGAAACCCUGAUCUAGCCAUGCCGCGUGAGCGAUGAAGGCCUUAGGGUUGUAAAGCUCUUUCAGCUGGGAAGAUAAUGACGGUACCAGCAGAAGAAGCCCCGGCUAACUCCGUGCCAGCAGCCGCGGUAAUACGGAGGGGGCUAGCGUUGUUCGGAAUUACUGGGCGUAAAGCGCACGUAGGCGGAUUAGUCAGUCAGAGGUGAAAUCCCAGGGCUCAACCCUGGAACUGCCUUUGAUACUGCUAGUCUUGAGGUCGAGAGAGGUGAGUGGAAUUCCGAGUGUAGAGGUGAAAUUCGUAGAUAUUCGGAGGAACACCAGUGGCGAAGGCGGCUCACUGGCUCGAUACUGACGCUGAGGUGCGAAAGCGUGGGGNGCAAAACAGAUUAGAUACCCUGGUAGUCCACGCCGUAAACGAUGAUGCCAG
rnacentral:rRNA from 1 species